AAAAAGGCAAACCAUAGAUUUUCGUGUCCAACUUUAACUGUCCGUCUUAUAUGAAAUUUUUUUAUAAUUCGUAUUUUCAUUGUUGCUAGAUGAUAAAACAUGAUUAAUAUUUUAUACGUGACUUGUCUUUUUAAUUUUUUUCGUAAUUUUUUCAAAUAAGACGAACGGUCAAACAUUGGACACGAAAACCAGGGUUUCUUUUUUU
rfam:Oryza sativa Japonica Group DNA, chromosome 6, cultivar: Nipponbare, complete sequence.